CCUACGGGGGGCAGCAGUGGGGAAUAUUGCACAAUGGGGGAAACCCUGAUGCAGCGACGCCGCGUGAGUGAAGAAGGAUCUCGGUACGUAAAGCUCUAUCAGCAGGGGAGAAAAUGACGGUACCUGACUAAGAAGCACCGGCUAACUACGGGCCAGCAACCGCGGUAAUGCGUAGGGGGCAAGCGUUAUCCGGAUGUACUGGGUGUAAAGGGAGCGUAGACGGCAGGACAAGUCUGGAGUGAAAUCCCGGGGCUUAACCCCGGAACUGCUGUGGAAACUGUGCGGCUGGAGUGCAGGAGGGGUAAGCGGAAUUCGUAGUGUAGCGGUGAAAUGCGUAGAUAUUAGGAGGAACACCGGUGGCGAAGGCGGCUUACUGGACUGUAACUGACGUUGAGGCUCGAAAGCGUGGGGAGCAAACAGGAUUAGAUACCCGGGUAGUC
rnacentral:rRNA from 1 species